GAGCGGAUGAGGGUAGCUUGCUACCUGAUUCAGCGGCGGACGGGUGAGUAAUGCCUAGGAAUCUGCCCGAUAGUGGGGGACAACGUUUCGAAAGGAACGCUAAUACCGCAUACGUCCUACGGGAGAAAGCAGGGGACCUUCGGGCCUUGCGCUAUCGGAUGAGCCUAGGUCGGAUUAGAUAGUUGGUGGGGUAAAGGCUCACCAAGGCGAGGAUCCGUAACUGGUCUGAGAGGAUGAUCAGUCACACUGGAACUGAGACACGGUCCAGACUCCUACGGGAGGCAGCAGUGCGGAAUAUUGGACAAUGGGCGAAAGCCUGAUCCAGCCAUGCCGCGUGUGUGAAGAAGGUCUUCGGAUUGUAAAGCACUUUAAGCUGGGAGGAAGGGCAGUAAGUUAAUACCUUGCUGUUUUGACGUUACCAGCAGAAUA
rnacentral:rRNA from 1 species